rnacentral:rRNA from 1 species
GACGAACGUUGGCGGCGUGCUUAAUACAUGCAAGUCAACUGAAGCACCGGUAGUAAUACUGGUGUGGAGGUGGCGCACGGGUGAGUAACACGUAGGUAAUCUGCCUUCAGGUCUGACAUAACCCCGAGAAAUCGGGGCUAAUAGCAGAUGAUGCAGCGGCUUGACAUCAAGACAGUUGUUAAAGCUUCGGCGCCUGAAGAUGAGCCUGCGUCUGAUUAGCCAGUUGGCGGAGUAAUAGCCCACCAAGGCGACGAUCAGUAGCUGGUCUGAGAGGAUGAUCAGCCACACUGGAACUGAGACACGGUCCAGACUCCUACGGGAGGCAGCAGUAAGGAAUAUUGCUCAAUGGGAGAAAUCCUGAAGCAGCAACGCCGCGUGAGGGAUGAAGGGCUUUUGCUCGUAAACCUCAGUAGUGAGGGAAAAAUUUCCAUUCUAUGGAAUAUGAUGGUACCUCAAAAGUAAGA